GGUGAACGCUGGCGGCGUGCCUAAUACAUGCAAGUCGAGCGAACGGACGAGAAGCUUGCUUCUCUGAUGUUAGCUGCGGACGGGUGAGUAACACGUGGAUAACCUACCUAUAAGACUGGGAUAACUUCGGGAAACCGGAGCUAAUACCGGAUGAUAUUUUGAACCGCAUGGUUCAAAAGUGAAAGACGGUCUUGCUGUCACUUAUAGAUGGAUCCGCGCUGCAUUAGCUAGUUGGUAAGGUAACGGCUUACCAAGGCAACGAUGCAUAGCCGACCUGAGAGGGUGAUCGGCCACACUGGAACUGAGACACGGUCCAGACUCCUACGGGAGGCAGCAGUAGGGAAUCUUCCGCAAUGGGCGAAAGCCUGACGGAGCAACGCCGCGUGAGUGAUGAAGGUCUUCGGAUCGUAAAACUCUGUUAUUAGGGAAGAACAUAUGUGUAAGUAACUGUGCACAUCUUGACGGUACCUAAUCAGAAAGCCACGGCUAACUACGUG
rnacentral:rRNA from 1 species